rnacentral:pre_miRNA from 1 species
UGGAUAGAUUAUUGUAUUCAACUGUAUUCGACUGUAUUCACGGUGUGAAACAGGGGAUUACACUAUUUUUAAACGGAAGUGAAUCAAUUAACAUAAUAGACUCCU